UUUCUUUUAGCUUAAUUUAAAGCAUCAAUUUGAAGAGUUGGAGAUAACUUUAGUUAGAGAGAC
rnacentral:tRNA from 1 species